rnacentral:tRNA from 1 species
GCCCCAGUGGAGCAGUCUGGAGUGCUCAUCUCCCUGUCAAGGAGAAGGUCGCCGGUUCAAGUCCGGUCUGGGGCGCCA